AGUGAGAUCAUGAUCUGAGUCAAAGUCGGACGCUUAAUCAACUGAGCCACCCAAGUGCCCCAAAAAACUAUAUCCGAUAUUUUAAUUCAACUAUGUGGACUCUACAAGGAAAUAAGCACCCAUACUGAAAUAUGUACCUGUACACCCUUGCCCACUUGCCUAAGGAGCUGCCCCAUCACAGCCUCUGAUAUUCCCAUGAUGCCUUUGUAUGGGCCAGCUGUGUCUAUGUCAUGCUUUGGUAACAAAACCUCCUUGAGUCUCAAUGACUUUUGACAACAAAGAUUUAUUUCUCAGCCACAUUACCAGUAGGUUGAGGGCCAGCUGUGGCCCUGCUUCCUGAAGGAGCAAGUCCUGUCCAGAACAUCGCCACGCUCAUGACAGCGGGAAAAGAGUGAUGUCGCAUGGCUCUCAGGACUUCUCGGGAGUCCCUCCUGUUACUUCACUCGCAUAUCAUUACCGGAGCAAGUCACAUGAACAAGCUGAUAUCCAUGGGGUGAAAAGAACCCCCACAGACCCCAGUACAAAGAGCUGGUAGCAGAUGGACGGGGAACCUACCCUGACCUCCCCGGCUCAUGAGAGCUGCCACCCACAGCUGACCAGACUAUGGCUUUUGUGACCGGAGGUAUCGGAGCUGCAGCGUUAUGUGAGAAACUCCAAGCAAAGAGAUUUGAACUUGACUUGAAGUCUUUCUUUAAUAUUCAAUAAAAAGUUGGAGAUUUAUUGGCCUAUGGCAGAGACCAAUUUCCUGUUACAUGGACCAGAGAGGAGAUUAAAAAAAGAUUUUUAGAGCAGCGCCCAUAUUUCUUAAGAGAGGCAAAGAAUGGAGCUCUCCUAAUUUUGUGGCUCGUGCUGCUAACGUGGCUCCUUUCUCUGGGCCGAUCCGAAAUUAGAAGGCUGGGACCAAAAUCCUGCAGUCUCCCCACAGGGACCAUUUCAAUUUUCCUCUGAGUAGCAGCCCCAUAAGGAUCGUCUUCACAGCUGUAAGGUCAAGGUUGGAAGUGGCUGAGUGUGGAAAAGAUUGAAGACCGUGCCACAGGCUUUCAGCGAAGUACAUUGGCGUGCUCUCUGCAGCCAGAGGGGGGAGGAGUAAUUCCAGCAGGCUUCAGAAUUUAAAAGCACUGCUACAAAGAUCUGGGACAGGAAAUACGGCAGAAAAGUACCGAUGACAGACUGGCAUGAGUUAUCGAUUCCCCCAGUGUAGCCGGCUCAGGGUCAGAGUGUCUCAGUUUGAAUACCAGCUUUGUGACCUUGGACAAGUUACUUAACCUCUCUGUGCCCCUGACUCUUUGUCUGUAUAACACAGAGAGCACCUACCUUACAGGGUAGCCAUGUAGGUGGAAAGAGAUAAAACACAGCAGGCUUGGAAACAAUGCUGGCACAUAGUGAGUACUCAGAAUGCUAGCUUAUUACUAUUGUUGUAUCAACUCAUUGGAAAGCCAACUAAAUCUGGACUGAGCCCUCCAGGCUCCGAACUGAUACUACUGGAAGGAGGCUCCGUGGAAUUAGGGAACAAGGGAUUCAGUUCAACCAGGCAAACAGUUAUGGAGCCUCUGACGCGCAGAUAUGAAGACAAUAUGGCUCUUGCAUCAGGAGAAUCUACACUCCUAAAGAGAAGACAGACACACAAAGAGCAGCACACAGACCCAACAGCCAUGCCUGCAAUUAUGAUCCAAGUACAGAGGUAGCUCAGGACAGGGAGUAUUAAGACGUCCUAAAGGGGGAUAUUGGAAGAGGGUUUUGACAGAUGAAUAGGAGUUUGACACGGUGAACGAGGUGGGGAGAAAUCCCAGGCAAGGCGAUAGCAAGUGAAAAGGAGCAGCUGUCUGAAAGAACACAGUCUGUGUGGAUCUACGAAACGUCAGGCUUUCUGCAAGAGUGUGGGCUUAUGGUAAGAAAUUGUAGGUAGAGAGGUAAUCGGAAUGUCACAAUAAGGAGUUUGGACAUCCUGCCAACAACAGCAAGGCUACGUGUCAGCUCCCCCCGCCCCGCGCGAUGCCCCCGGGUGGGGCUGCUUCCUCACUUGUCAGGUUCACCAGUGUUUUUGCUGCUAAAACAGGUCAUCCUGCCACGCAUCACACUUUAAUUGGACAUUUUCUGUACGUCAGAGAGACUGACAUUCACCGACAUGGCUUCAAGAAUAAGACUCCCUACCCUGAAAAAGCUCAAAGUCGAGUGGGGAAGACACGUGAUCACAAUGCAACCUGAGAGAUCCUAAAAUCCAGCCAAAUCCAUCAGAGGUGAAACCCCGCCCUUCGCAGGAUAACCAAACAGUGUGAAAAUUUGGGCUGCCAUGUGCUGCUCUCCAUAACUUGUUGGGGAAUACAAGUAUAGACAGCCUUUGCAAUCUGGUUCCUGAACACUGACAGAUUCUCCAAGCUUUGAUGUUCUCAAGCAACGGUGGUGGUAACACGUGACCCAUCGUUUACUUUGCCAGACUGAUACAAACCCUAACAGAACUCAGAUGAUUCAGAAAUCAGCUCCAGGUUAAUGGCAUUGUGGUCCCACCCAAACACAGGAGUGGUUGUGGGUUGAGCAGGAAGACGCAGUCAGCGAAGUGUGUACUUAAUCACACCAGCUUGGGGUCAGAAGGAAAUGAACAAAACGUGUGUACUAUCAGUUUUACUGGAAUGACCACAUAGCCAAAGUUAGGCAAGGUGAAUCGUUAACAGGCAUUCCAAUCAUUUCCAUGGUUAGAGUGACUUGUAAGAAAAAGGAUAAUUGCUAAAAUUUUUAAUGAUAACAAAUCUUGACCUUAUUCUGUGCCAGACACCGUGCUAAGCACUUUAUGUUGCCAUCGUAUUUAGGAAGAGAAUCAUUUUCUACAACCACCAGGUGUCUCCAGUUUCUUACAGCUGUCCUGAAAUUCAGACCUCCUUCUCCAGAAGCGUAACAAGCUGAAAUGUUCCAGGUAGAAGCUUCUCUCUCAGACUGGAUGCUGGAGUGAGGAUGGAUGAGAACCCCAGAGAGCCCAUGACAAACAUGUAUUUCCAGUGAAAAACUAGCUUGAAAGCCACUGAGACUUGAGGGCUUGCUUGUUACACAGCACGGCCUAGCAUAUGCUAACUGCUGUUGUACCUUCAUAAAUAUCUCACCUGGAUGAA